rnacentral:rRNA from 1 species
GAGUUUGAUCCUGGCUCAGAACGAACGCUGGCGGCAGGCCUCAUACAUGCAAGUCGAACGAGAUCUUCGGAUCUAGUGGCGGACGGGUGAGUAACGCGUGGGAACGUGCCCUUCACUACGGAAUAGUCCCGGGAAACUGGGUUUAAUGCCGUAUACGCCCUUCGGGGGAAAGAAUUUCGGUGAAGGAUCGGCCCGCGUUAGAUUAGGUAGUUGGUGCGGUAACGGCGCACCAAGCCGACGAUCUAUAGCUGGUUUGAGAGGAUGAUCAGCCACACUGGGACUGAGACACGGCCCAGACUUCUACGGAAGGCAGCAGUAGGGAAUCUUGGACAAUGGGGGCAACCCUGAUCCAGCCAUGCCGCGUGAGUGACGAAGGCCCUAGGGUCGUAAAGCUCUUUCGCUAGGGAAGAUAAUGACGGUACCUAGUAAAGAAACCCCGGCUAACUCCGUGCCAGCAGCCGCGGUAAUACGGAGGGGGUUAGCGUUGUUCGGAAUUACUGGGCGUAAAGCGCGCGUAGGCGGACUAUUAAGUCAGGGGUGAAAUCCCGGGGCUCAACCCCGGAACUGCCUUUGAUACUGGUAGUCUUGAGUUCGAGAGAGGUGAGUGGAA